GUCCACGCCGUAAACGAUGAGUGCUAGGUGUCACGGGCUUUGACCCUCGUGGUGCCGAAGCUAACGCGUUAAGCACUCCGCCUGGGGAGUACGGCCGCAAGGCUAAAACUCAAAAGAAUUGACGGGGCCCGCACAAGCGGUGGAGCAUGUUGUUUAAUUCGACGCAACGCGAAGAACCUUACCUGGGCUAGAAAGUACAGGAACCUGGUUGAAAAUACGGGUGCCCUUCGGGAAGUCUGUGGUUAGGUGCUGCAUGGCUGUCGU
rnacentral:rRNA from 1 species